rnacentral:lncRNA from 1 species
UUGUGUUUCGAUGCAAGUCGCACUUUUGCCUUAGGCAACAUGUAAGUGACUACAUCGCUUAUCAUCUUAAGGUUAUAUGAUGGGUCUUUUGGAUGUUUAUUUGACACACUUGCACUAUACCGACCCCCCUUUUAGGCGCGUUCCCCUAUUGUUGUUAUUCCUUUCGUCUAUCUAGUUGUUUGACUUGGCUGCUCCAAAUAGGAUGGUGACUGCUACUCGCACCAGUACUUUUGGCAACCCCAGCACACGCGAGUCUAGCCAGCAGCGAGAAGCUCGGUGGGUCUGCUCAAACUGGAGGUCACUAGGAGCAGACACAAGACGAUAUUCCCCUACCACCGCCUCCACCGGAGAACCUAACUAUGGCUCAGCUUCUCCUAGAUCUCCGAAAAGAAUGCCAAGCCAACACUGUGUCUAUCCAUCAGAUGGCCCACGUUCUCGUGAACAACCCGCAGCUCAGCUAGAACGACAAUGGUCGUUCCACUCUGUUAGAGUUCAUGAGGUCUUCGCCGCCGACCUUCACUGAGAUAGCUGAACCUUUGGAUGUUGAUGACUAGAUCCGCACCAUCAAGGACCUCCUUGCAUUGUUCAACUGCAAUGAGGACCGCGAAAAGGUUCUCUAUGCGUCUCACUGCCUCAGAGGUAUUGCCAAAGCUUGGUUGGAUGGAUUCAAGGUCAUGCAAGGUGAGCGUGUUAUCACAUGGGAUGAUUUCAAGCAAGGAUUCCGUACUUGCCAUAUCCCUUCUAGGAUUAUGAUCAUCAAGAAGCGGGAGUUUCCAGCGCUGUAGCAAGGAAGUGGCUCAGUUAAGGAGUACCUAUCAGGGCCGGUUUUCCUGGGAUUUUAAUUCCCAUCAAAAUGACCCAUGUGCAUAGCAGCCCCAAGAAUAUUGUUAGCUAGUACACAAAUCCUUGAUACAAACGUCCAAUCAAAUUACAGAUUUGAAGUUCAUGACCAAGAUGGUCUAUGGAGUACAUCAAAAUGAUUUCUACUUGUUGAUGGCGGAAGCGGUUCAGGGAUCUACAACAUCUAUUGGACUCCAUUCCCAACAGGAACAAUUGACCUGGAUAAUUCCUAUCUCACGCGGUUGCUGUCUUCGGUGCCUAGGUUCCGGGGCUACCACCGGGAUGCACUUUUCCAAAUAUGCAAUCUAGCCAAGACAAUAGCCAGGGACAAGCGAGUGAGUACUUUGAAUGUACUCGCAAACAUCAUGAAAUUAGACAUAAAAUAGCUGGUGAUAAAUGUGCACUUGAAAUCAUUCAAUGAUGUUACCUUAGUCAUAAUCCAACUUCUUAAGUGCAAGCAGACAUAUGUUUUAACCAUACUGAGAAUUUAAUAAGGAAACAAUGAAAGAAAAUUUUAUUGGAACAUCGAAUGGUAGUCCUCCCGAAUAUUUCCAAGAACAGAAAAAUAGUCCGACCGGAUGUGUGGAGCGACGCCUUGAACGGAUAAGAUAUAAAGCAUGCCUUAUUCGGGCGUCUCAGCGACACCAGAUAAAGGGCUUAUAAGAAAUAAUAAGAUACAUGCCAUGGUCGGGCGUCUGAGCGACACCACAUAAAGGGCUUAAAUGAAAUAAUAACAAUCAUGCCACACUUAGGCGUUUGAGCGGAACUGCAUAAAGUUCUUAUUAGAAAUAAUACCAAUGAAUAUUCAGGAGGUAGAACCGUCUCAGGGAUAUUCAACAUUCAUGUAUCAUAAAGGUUAGUCCAUGAUAAAAUAAUAAUUAUGAUCAUCCACCAUAUUUCACGAUUUUCUCAUGGUUAAGUUAACUUCCCCUGAAGACAGACACUUGACGCGUUAACUAGUCGUCCUUGACCGUGUACACGGCUACUCGAAUUGUCUUAGAAAAUUUUCAAAUAAAUAGUAGAAAAUUUGUCUUAGAAAAUUUUCAAAUAAAUAUUAAAAUAAACUAGAUAAUUUUAUGAAGAGGUGAGAAAAAGAAUCAACUCAUUUGAAGUUUUAUUUUAGAAAUUAGAGCGAGUCAAAGUUUGGUCAAUGUUUUGUUUUAAAAUAAAUGAGAAAAGGGAAAACGUUUCGGACGGAAAUACGCAAGCGCGAGGAAAAAACGUACUUCACGGCAUGCGCGGCCACUUAUCCAGCACACGCGUGACUCGCGAGUCACUGACAGUGUGCCGCCUAGCCAAUUGGUCAGGUUUGACCGGUCUCCUCCUUUCUCCUCCUGUGAUAGAACCGGGACGGAGCUCGGCGACCAACACCAGCAAGGGGGGCUUCAUGCGAGGUGGCGAGCACCCGAGGGAGCUCAGGGGGUCACGACGGUCCUGAGGAGGGGAUGCGAGGCCGCCAUAGUGGGCAGAGCCGUCGGCGGCGUGCUAACCCGAAAAGCUCCGACGGGACCAAAAUUUGGGAAUCUCUCUCUGGUGCUCUUGAGGCCGAAUUUGGACCCGGGAUGGAUUCAAGGGAACUCCACGGGGCUUUGGGAGCGAGAGAGGGAGGGGAUAGGGUCUGUUCAGGUCGAAUUCGACCGAGACGGCCAUUGCUACUGGACACGAAGAGGAUGACCCUCUUGGUCUCAAUUGGCUCAAACGGAGGGUUACUGCGGGGCAGUGG